UUUCAGAAGGUUCAUUUGGGGAUUAAAAUGUUGAUAAGGCUUCUAAUCCAUUCGGAUGACUUUGCUAUUAUCUGCAGUAUGUUUUUAAAUGCCGAUGCUCCAUAUAAUUGGUCGUUCAAUUAGCGUUAGAUUCCUCAACCAGUGCAGCUUCAUUCUUUCCUUGCUUGCAGGAAAUACAAUUCUUGAUUUCAACAAUGGGUGUGAAAUAGUAUAUGCAGAGCUAGAUGCGGCGAAAUCUGCAGACGCCAUGAGUGGCGGCGCAGUUCCUCGCGGUCUAUUACCAAUCGCCGCUGCUCGCAGUGGUUGCGCCACUGCUAUUUCGGUGUCCAGCGGCCUCACCCUCUUCUCGUCCAUCAUGGAGCUCACAGGAGGUUAUGUUUGAGAUCUUAAUAACUUUUUUUUUCAUGUGCUCACUGUCGCUUGAUUCCCUUCUAUCAGUUGUGGGAUGGGCUGAUUUGGAAGACCAAAUACGGUCUGGCUGUGAUCCAAACAUUCUUCUUUUGCAUUGGAUAUGAGUCAAGUCCUCUAAAUUUCUUUAUUUCCACCAGUGUGAUUGUACUGAUUUAUUGAUACCCUGUAGUUAGCAUAAAGGGGAGCUUGCUUAUCUGACAAAAGAAUUUUAUUAUAUUAAAGAGUUGUUGUAUUGGGAUUUUAGAAUAAAGUGCUUCACUAGAAGUCCAUAAGAAAAACUUUGGUACUUCUUCAUAGGAUUAACUCUGGUACUUCUUCAUAAGAUUUCGGUGAUAUAAUGAUAUAGUGCAAAAUUUCAUACUACUUAUUUGAUGAAUGCUUCUACAUAUUUCUAGGCUCUGCAUUUCUAUGUUUGAUUACUGUAUUUUCUCUCAAGCCCUAUUGGACUUGUAUCAUUUGUGUUAUAUGUCAUUGAACUGAAACUAGCAUUUUGGACAUCCAUUGGACAAUAUUGUAUACUCUGACUUCAAUUCCAUGAGAGUACUGAACUUGGCAUUCAGAGUCAUCUCAUGGAACUGAAGUUGGCAUUGAUCUCUAAAAAAAAUUAGUGUAAGGAACAUAAAGAACAUAAUUUGUAUAUUCCGUCUUGUUUUACCUUACUAGAGUACUGUAUUGAUCCACACAAUGGACAGACACAUAUUUAAGCAAUUAGCAAAAAAAGACAUUUAAGGCUUUGCUUGCAUGGUCGAAAUUACUGGUCGUGGAGGUCUUCAAUAGCUUCCAUAACUAUAUGAGAAAACUCUGAGAAUUUCUGUCUCAUUGUCUGGUCAUAUUCAGUUCAUGUUUUGAAGUUCUAUACUGCCUGGAUGCUAAGAGGAGUUUUGUAGCCGUAUUUACUUUUUAGACAUCACCCAGUGCCAGAGUUUAACUUUUUUUAUUCAACACUUUAUUUGUGGAAAUAUAUUUAACAGAGUUAAUAAUUGCAGAAAAUUGGUAACACUGCACUCAGUUAAGAUUAUGAGAUAUCUGUUGUAUGUAUUAUUUAUCAAUACUACCUCAAUUUCUUCCUGUCGUAUUUGCAUGUAUCUCAUGCUCUUACUGAUGUUUUAGCCUUCUAUAUGUUGUUUCGAAGUGAGCUGAGGACAAUGGCUAUGAGGAGGGUGAAGGCGCAGCUUCUACUUAUUUAUUGUUGCAAAAGGGUCACAAGAAGAAACACAUUAUGCAGCAGAGUAUUAAUGGUUUAGGACCAUAUGAAACUGACGUAUCUUAUGGUCUGCGAUGUUCACCUCCUCUAUUGCGGUGGAAGCCGGAAAUGCUAGAAAUGCAGUGAUGGAGAAGAGCUCACAGUGGUAUGUUCUUGCUCACUUGCUCUCACAAGCCCCUCACGUUGAUUAAUUUUUCUCCUGUGUGACUAAAUUCAUGUACUGAAUCCUUGAUUAUCUAAGGGUUUCAAUACUUACCCAACUCUGCUCUGCAUUGAUGGUUGCUCAAUGAUCGAUCGUUGCAUGGUACUUUGUCUUUUAUUCUGAUUGUCCUGAUUAGUAAAAUGGAGCAGGAGUUCCUUGGUUCCAACAGAAAAAAAAUCUAGAUCAAUUUCGGAAUUAAAUCCACUUGAACUUUUUGUGAAUAAACAUUCACCUUAUGAAAAAAAGAAUGCAAAUCACAUUUUAAUUUUAUGUUCCGAGUCUAAGCAAACAAACAAAUAUAUUGUUCUAGCAAUAGCCCAAAUGGAUUCGAUUAUUCUUUCCUAGCAAAGUAAGAUUAGCAAAAGGUAAAAGAAUGUUUCUGCUUCACGAGGAAAUUAAUUCAAAAUCUAACAGAAUCAGAUAUUGAUCUAUUGGAUCUAAAUAAAGUAUAUUAAGAUAUUUGUCUAUGAGAAAUUUUGGUUAGUCUAACUCUCCAUCCUUUUCACCAUGUAGAUUCAAUUUUUGGGGAAUUGCCCUUUUAAGAUUCACGAUGCAUGUGCACUGGGGAAACCAGGACCGUUGUUAGUGCAAUAAUUUAUGCCUGCAUAUCCAUCUAGGCAUGACCACUUGAUUGCAUGAAUUAUGUCCCUGUGAACUCCUUACUAUAUUACUAUGUGACUGUGCUAAGUUGAAUAGUGAAAUGAGAGUACAUCUUAAUGUGUUAUCUCAUUUCUGAAUGUUGGGUUUUCAUAAUCCAACUUUGUAAGAAUAAAUGCUACUGGUUUUUAUGAUUAAUAUGGAUUUCAGUUGUCUAAUGUUGCCCGUUUUCUAGCACCACAAUUUAAAUUUCAAUAUUUUGGUAUAUUUGAUGUAAUCAGUGACAACCUUUGUUAUGCUCUGACAUUCCUUGAUGGAGAAAGUUCUAAUCUUAGUGAAUUUAAAGCAUGCCUCCCAUCUGUAGUAUCAUCCAGAGUUUGUAAUAAUGCCAAGAAGAUGCCUAACAAUAUACAGUUGAAGAUAUCAACUCCAAUGAAUUACUGGCUAAAGCCCUUUGAGAAAUUCGGUCCAGUUUAUAACGACAUUUCCUUGUUAAUUUUUCUCUGCUGAAUUUGACUAGUAGGUCUCAGUACAAAAAUAGCUUAUGUGCUACUGCAAGGUGAUGCCAAAGCUGGCGAAUUUUCGGCCUUUUUUGUGGCUUUGCUCCUCUUCUAAAGAAUUUACCUUCAGAAGAGACUGGAGAAGACAUGGAAGCUACAGCCAAUUUGCAUUGGUAAUUGAUUACCAUUAAAUACCCAUAGCUCAACAUCAUCAAUAGUCAAUAAGAGUAAUUUGCUAUCAACAUUAUUUCAUCCAUGACUAUGAGAUAUAUAACUCCUGAAAAUAGCUGAAUUGGAUCGAUUAUGAGAACAUGAACCUCUUGCUUGUAAGCAUACAUAAUCUGGAGUAGCAUGGAUGGCAUGCCCUGUUAUUUCAUAUUUGUCGCAUGGUCUGACCUUUGAUAGAAGGAGUUGAUUUCUUUAUCCCGUUUGAGGUAUGUAGACCUGCCAAAUUUUCUAUGGAGUGCAGCGUCAGGUCAUUGCCAAGGUCUGUGUCUAUGUGGACGACCACUACUUCUUCUAUGACACCCACGAGAGGGACAUGGUCUACAUUGAGGACUACUCCAAUGGCAAGUCAAUGAUGGCGCCGACGAGCAGCUUCUCGAGUAGACGAUGAGGAAGGCGAGCAACAGAUCAGUGUAGCGCGGUGACAGUAAUAAGAGUUAUCUGUAAUGCAUUUUCCAUGCCAUCAGGCUGUAUCUUUGUAUGUCUUCUUUCUUGUGCUAUAAAUACAAACAUAUGCAAAAAAAA
rnacentral:rRNA from 1 species